GGGGGGGGCAAGCGUUGUUCGGAAUUACUGGGCGUAAAGGGCUCGUAGGUGGCCAACUAAGUCAGACGUGAAAUCCCUCGGCUUAACCGGGGAACUGCGUCUGAUACUGGAUGGCUUGAGGUUGGGAGAGGGAUGCGGAAUUCCAGGUGUAGCGGUGAAAUGCGUAGAUAUCUGGAGGAACACCGGUGGCGAAGGCGGCAUCCUGGACCAAUUCUGACGCUGAGGAGCGAAAGCCAGGGGAGCAAACGGGAUUAGAUACCCCGGUAGUCCUGGCCCUAAACGAUGAAUGCUUGGUGUGGCGGGUAUCGAUCCCUGCCGUGCCGAAGCUAACGCAUUAAGUGCUCCGCCUGGGGAGUAUGGUCGCAAGGCUG
rnacentral:rRNA from 1 species